rnacentral:rRNA from 1 species
AGUGAACGCUGGCGGUAGGCCUAACACAUGCAAGUCGAACGGCAGCACAGUAAGAGCUUGCUCUUACGGGUGGCGAGUGGCGGACGGGUGAGGAAUACAUCGGAAUCUACUUUUUCGUGGGGGAUAACGUAGGGAAACUUACGCUAAUACCGCAUACGACCUACGGGUGAAAGCAGGGGAUCUUCGGACCUUGCGCGAUUGAAUGAGCCGAUGUCGGAUUAGCUAGUUGGCGGGGUAAAGGCCCACCAAGGCGACGAUCCGUAGCUGGUCUGAGAGGAUGAUCAGCCACACUGGAACUGAGACACGGUCCAGACUCCUACGGGAGGCAGCAGUGGGGAAUAUUGGACAAUGGGCGCAAGCCUGAUCCAGCCAUACCGCGUGGGUGAAGAAGGCCUUCGGGUUGUAAAGCCCUUUUGUUGGGAAAGAAAAGCAGCAGGUUAAUACCCCGCUGUUCUGACGGGACCCAAAGAAGAAACACCGGCUAACUUCGG